rnacentral:rRNA from 1 species
AACGAACGCUGGCGGCAUGCCUAACACAUGCAAGUCGAACGGGAUCCUAGCUUGCUAGGUGAGAGUGGCGGACGGGUGAGUAACACGUGGGAAUCUGCCUUUUGGUUCGGGAUAACCGCGGGAAACUGCGGCUAAUACCGAAUGCCCUCGUGAGAGGAAAGAUUUAUCGCCAGAAGAGGAGCCCGCGUCCGAUUAGGUAGUUGGUGGGGUAAAAGGCCUACCAAGCCGACGAUCGGUAGCUGGUCUGAGAGGAUGAUCAGCCACACUGGGACUGAGAUACGGCCCAGACUCCUACGGGAGGCAGCAGUGGGGAAUAUUGGACAAUGGGGGCAACCCUGAUCCAGCAAUGCCGCGUGAGUGAUGAAGGCCUUAGGGUUGUAAAGCUCUUUUGCCAGGGAAGAUGAUGACUGUACCUGGAGAAUAAGCCCCGGCUAACUUCGUGCCAGCAG